UCACACCAGGAGAAUCGACAAGAAAUAUAUAUCGACGCCAGCCUUUGGUAUUGACAACGCUAUUAACCCAAGAGCUGUUGGUUUUAGUCUUUAAUCCCAGCGGUCGCAAGUGGACAUAUUUAUAGAAAAAGGCUGAUAUGAUAGGUUGGACGCUAUGUAAAUAGCCCACUUCGCUGAGGGGUAGGAAGAAUUGCCGCCUGAGGUUGGUAAGCUUCUGCUUAUUUUUAGCUCGCAGUUAUUGAGCGCGGAGUCGACUCUGAUGACUAUGCAAGAUUGGGAUCUAAUGGCAUUAAUCACUGCCACAUUGCUACUACCGAAAACUGUAGCUGAUGAAUAGAUAAGGUCCCUUGAAGGACGGGCCAGGCAGGGAGGAGGAAUGGAAUGAUGAGAUAUCUCGAAUCUACACGGGUUUUUUUCUUGGGCCAUUUCCAUCACAAUGACUAGGUGUUUUGUAUUAAUGUCAUGUAUGCACUAUUCCUAUUAAAAUUAGCGAU
rnacentral:sRNA from 1 species